rnacentral:rRNA from 1 species
AACGAACGCUGGCGGCAUGCCUAACACAUGCAAGUCGAACGAGACCUUCGGGUCUAGUGGCGCACGGGUGCGUAACGCGUGGGAACCUGCCCUUAGGCUCGGAAUAACUCCCCGAAAGGGGUGCUAAUACCGGACAAUGUCUUCGGACCAAAGAUUUAUCGCCUUUGGAUGGUCCCGCGUUGGAUUAGCUAGUUGGUAGGGUAAAAGCCUACCAAGGCGACGAUCCAUAGCUGGUCUGAGAGGAUGAUCAGCCACACUGGGACUGAGACACGGCCCAGACUCCUACGGGAGGGAGCAGUGGGGGAUAUUGGACAAUGGGAGAAAGCCUGAUCCAGCAAUGCCGCGAGAGUGAUGAAGGCCUUAGGGUUGUAAAGCUCUUUUACCCGGGAUGAUAAUGACAGUACCGGGAGAAUAAGCUCCGGCUAACUCCGUG